AUGUACCAAAAGUACAUUGCCGAGUUGGACACGAUUACGCCUGAGCAGGUGGAAUGGCAGCCAUAUGGCGCGGGUGAGAGCUUGGGGUACACCGCGGAGUUCCGCCUCAACCCGAUGUGCUUGCGGGAUAAGGAUCUCUGGCUUAUGCGGUGCCCACUGAUAUGCAACUGGGCGGUUGAGUUUCAUUUGCCGCAUCGCGUGUAUCGUCAGUUUGGUCUUUUCCAGCCUCACCCGCUGGAUUGGGUGGACACGGAUAAAGCACUUCAUAGGUUGGACAGGAGAAGGCAACGGAAGAUAAAGGACUGGGCCAAGCAUCAUUCUGCGUAUGUUACCCGCUUCCAGCUUUGUGUGAAGCAAGCUCGUAGCACUGCACGCGCCCCGCUUCGUGAGCACAACUCACUUGCUUUUGAUAACUACGUACGAUGGUUUAUUGGAACUACUCGAGUUGAGAUAUGCCCGCCGGCAUAUAAUGAGGAUAUUCUUGAAGAACCCGUAAACUUUGAGGAUCUAGCAAAGGGGAAGUACAACAGAGAUGUCAGGCUAGGGAAAGGAGUCCCUGCUGUUCCGGCCAAGAAGUUA
rnacentral:rRNA from 1 species